CGCGGUGAAUACGUUCCCGGACCUUGUACACACCGCCCGUCAAGCCAUGGAAGCUGGGUGUACCUAAAGUCGGUAACCGCAAGGAGCCGCCUAGGGGUAAAACUAGUAACUGGGGCU
rnacentral:rRNA from 1 species